GAGGGAGCCCCGUCUGAUAACGCUGGUGAGGGAGCACCGUUGGACUGCCUCAGUGCACCGGCGUCAACCACUUGCGCGCCACCUUGUCGGUCUGGAAGUCCUCCUUGAACUGUCCGGCAAGCUUCCCAGUCAUCUCCUCCCACAGCAGCUUCUUUGGCUUCUUGCCCAGCCUCAGCCGCCUGUUGAGGUCAUCGAGGGACUUAACAGGUAUCCCGCCCUCUACCUCAAGGUGGACCUUCAUCAGGUGGAUGAGGAAGUGUGUCUGAGCUUUGGUAAAACCCUCAUUCACCGGCAGUGGUGCAGUUGGCUUGAUAUUGCAGGUAUCUGAAUCAUAAAAAGGAAAC
ensembl:lncRNA